AUGGCCCGCGCCGCCCAAGUCCCCCGCACCCCCCGGCUGCUGCCCGCGGCGCUGCUGCUCCUGCUCCUGGUCGCCGCUGGCCGGCGCGCUGCAGGGGCGCCCGUGGUCGCCGAGCUGCGCUGCCAGUGCCUGCAGACCCUGCGGGGCAUCCACCUCAAGAACAUCCAGAGCGUGAAGGUGACGGCCCCGGGCCCCCACUGCGCGCAGACCGAAGUCGUAGCCCAGCUCAAGGGCGGGCAGGAGGCCUGUCUGCACCCCGAGGCCCCCAUGGUGAAGAAGAUCAUCGCCAAGAUGCUGGGCAGGUGCGUUGCGGUUUCCUGUCGGGUGGCUGCGGUCAGGGGGAAGAACCGGCUCGGCCCCGGUUCUGUCGGGGAAACUGAGGGAUUAGCAGAACGGCUAAAAGUUGCCACUAUUAUUUUUCCAAUUAAAUUUUCCGUUGAGACUGUUCAUGUGCUCUGCGCCAGGUUCCCCGUGUCCCCAUCCCGCCCGAGCCCUGCCAUCCUCCUGAGUGUGCGUAAAACCGCCUCCUGCAACAUUCUCACGAGCGUUGGCUGGUUAUGCUAAAAAUCUUUCAACCUGUUAAGAAACACAGGCUUUUUUUUACCUCCCAGUUCCUUCUGAGCUUCAGACCUGAAAAGCAGACCCUUUGUUUUUUGCAACGUGGACCCUAAAGUUUGUGCUGAAAGGCAGGGACUUUGCAGUGAUCACGCGCAGGGCACAAAUCUGCAUCCCGCCGCCUAUCUUGCGACUCCGCCUCCAGAAAGCCGGGAGCAGCCGCCGCCGCCAGGGAGCGUGCGCUGAGGCUCGCACGCGGGCUUCCAGGCCACGGACGCUCGGUGUGGCGGGCGGAGACCAGCGGCUCGGGCGCUUGUAGCGGUGACACGGUGGCGACCACAGCGCCUCACCCCAUUCCGUUCCCAAAGAAGAGCCUCCGAGAGCCUAGAGCGACAGCUCCGGCCGACCAGGGCAGAGGGGGAGCCCGCCUGCGGCGUGAACGAAGCGGGCCCUGCACCUAUAGGAACAGAAGAGACAAGAGAAAAAUAGUCCCGAGACUGCCUGGAUUGGGUUUAAUGCAUUUAAGCAUCUCUUAUGGGAGUUUUUCUAUUUAUUUGUUUGUUUGUUUUCAAAGAUUCUACAUUGAUAUUUUACAUGUAAAAUAAUUAAGGGUGUGAUUGAAUCUACUUAAACACUAUACCGUUAUAUUUAUUAUAUCAUGUGAAACUUAUGAUUCUUACUUAAUUUGAAAGUAAAACGUUUUCAAGUGUUCUCUACUCAUUAUAUUAGUAUAUUAAUAUUUCUGAAGAGCUCAUGGAGACAUAAUCAAAUAGUGAGGUCACUGUGAAGGCAGACGAAUGUGUGUGCAUAUCUGCUUCUGUAACUGUUUAAAGGAAUGCCAUUUGUUAUCUAUUGAAAUGAUUUUACAGGGCAUGGCCAACAUUUCUCGUGUUCAAGCUUUAAGAACUGCAAUGUUCUAAAUAUUCCUUGGAUAUUUUAUGUCUUUCUUGUAAGGCAUAAUGCCUUGUUUAGUGUGUUAAUUAUGCAGCGUUUCUCUGUGUCUUAGAACAAAGAGGUUUAAAUAUUUAUUGUGUUUUCACAAAGAACAUGAAAAUAAAAUAUUUAAAAAUAAACAAUACUUAUUUUAUUUUGGGGGAGGAAAAAGGACUAUUUUUUACUGGAGACCCUGAUGGUUUACAUAAAUGUUUCCCAACCUUUUUUUUCCUCUUCUUGGGCAUUAAAUUUUAUACACAGAUAAAUCAAUCUGGUUAUAGCUGUCACUUCCCUUGAUUUUUAUCUACUAAGAACACCCAUUUCCAAACUGUGUGCUGACCCCUAAUUGGAGAGUCACUGACAUACAUUGCUGUUUGUAUAAAAAGUUACUUGCUACCUUGCUACUCAAGUUUACCUCCUUAAAAAUAUUUACAUUCUUAUAGCUAUCUUAA